rnacentral:misc_RNA from 1 species
GAUCCACCUAUAUAUUUAACCAAAUGAUGCAAAUGGUGCAUGAAAUCCAUAUAAAACGUUCACUGUUACAGCAAUUGUGCUCCAUAAAUUGUUCACCAACACCAACCUUGGGAGUUAUCCUGCAGUAUGUGCAAGAAUACUAAAAUUAGGCUAGAAAGCUUUACCGUACAAAUGACUUGUACCUUGUAAGAGAACAUUAUGAAACAAGCAUGUGUUCCAAAGAAUUACAGGUGCUAAAAUACCACAAUGAUAUGGUCGGUAACCAUUCAAGAGUGGAAGUGUCAUGUCUGGUCAACAAGAAAGGGAUAGGGGUUACACCCCAAAUAGUUCAACUGCUUUUUCAUCUUCUCCAAAACAGAUUCUAUUUCUUCCAAUUGUUUGUGUAUUUUCUCUCCUGCAACAAACUCAUGAACGAUACCAUUAAUUUUGAUUGAACUGCAACCAGGUGCCUUGUUUAGCCCUUUGUUUCUCAUCGUCUUCUUUAUUCUUUUGGCAUCAUCAUGUUUCCCGGUAGUUGCAUACAAAUUUGAGAGCAGAACAUAUGCCCCACUGUGAGGUUCUAACUGCAGAAGUUUCUCAGAUGCAACCUGAGCCAGUUGGGGUUGUCCCUGAUUGCAGCAAGCACUUAGUAAUGCUCUCCAAGCUACUGCUUCUUCAGAGGAACUGCUUGAAUUAGGCAUUCUUUGGAUCAUUUCUUUUGCUUCUUGAAGGAGGCCAGCUCUACUAAGAAGAUCAACCAUACACCCAUAAUGUUCACUCCUGGGCUCAAUAUCAUACACAUUACACAUUCUAUCUAAUACUCUUAAACCUUCUUGUGCCAUGCCAGAAUAACUACAAGCCGACAACAUAGCUAUGAAUGUGACAUCAUCGGGCCUAAACCCAGCCUCCUCCAUCCCCAAAAACAAUGUAAGUGCACCCUCUCCAUCUCCAUGCAUUGCCAAACCAGAAAUCAUGACAUUCCAACAAAUUGUGUCUCUCUGAGGCAUUCCAUCAAACAGUCUCUUAGCUAAAUCCAAAUUCCCACACUUUGCAUACAUAUCAAUGAGACCCGUGCUCAAGCGGAUACUCAACGGCAGUCCUAUUCUGUCCAAAUAUCUGUGAAUCCAAAUUCCAGUAUCCAAAGCACCUAACUGAGCACAAGCACAAAGUAUGCUUAAAAAGAUACCCUCAUCUGGCACCAUAUCAAUCAACUGCAUCAGCCUAAACGUAUAUAAACUUUCUUUGAAACAAUUGUUUUGUACAUAACCAGAAAUCAUGGCACCCCAUAUUCCUCUAUCCUUCUCUGGAGCUCCAUCAAAGAACAACUUUGCAGAGCAAAUAUCACCCGCUUUAGCAUACCCAGAGAUCAUUAAUGUCCAUGACACAGCACAUGGACUAGGAAUUUCAUCAAAUAUGUAUCUUGCUGCCUUCAUGUUACUAAACCCACAGUACAUAAACAUCAAAGAAUUACCCACCACAGUAUUAAUCACGAAACCUAAUUGUAAACAAUGCCCAUGCACUAAUUCACCAAGAAAACAAGAUUGCAACUUUGAACAAGCUUUUAACACAUAAGGCAAGGUAUAAUUGUCAGGGCACAUACCAUUCUGGAGCAUGGUAGAGUAUAAAUUAAAAACAUUGGUGAGUUCACCUUUGAGCAAUAAAGCUCUAAUCAUGGUAUUGCAUAUGCAAAUGGUAGGCUGUUGAACAUGUUGAAAGAGUUUCCAGGAGUGAUUAAGGCUCCCAUGACCUGGGUCAGAGCAGAAGGCUAAGAGCCUGCUUAAAGCAAAGGAAUUGUUGCCGAGGCCACAAGUGAUUGCCUGAGCAUGAGCUUGCUUGAGCUGCGUCAUGCUUUUGCAUUUCUCCAAAAGCAGGAGGCAUCUUCUGCUACUGCAUCUAGCUGCUGCUUGCAUAGGGUCAUGGGCAUACGGUUUAGGCGGGUAGAGUCAUCAAAUAACCUUCCAUCUCU